AACGAACGCUGGCGGCAUGCCUAACACAUGCAAGUCGAACGAGACCUUCGGGUCUAGUGGCGCACGGGUGCGUAACGCGUGGGAACCUGCCCUUAGGUUCGGAAUAACUCCCCGAAAGGGGUGCUAAUACCGGAUAAUGUCUUCGGACCAAAGAUUUAUCGCCUUUGGAUGGGCCCGCGUUGGAUUAGCUAGUUGGUAGGGUAAAAGCCUACCAAGGCGACGAUCCAUAGCUGGUCUGAGAGGAUGAUCAGCCACACUGGGACUGAGACACGGCCCAGACUCCUACGGGAUGCAGCAGUGGGGAAUAUUGGACAAUGGGCGAAAGCCUGAUCCAGCAAUGCCGCGUGAGUGAUGAAGGCCUUAGGGUUGUAAAGCUCUUUUACCCGGGAUGAUAAUGACAGUACCGGGAGAAUAAGCUCCGGCUAACUCCGUG
rnacentral:rRNA from 1 species